rnacentral:rRNA from 1 species
AGCGAACGCUGGCGGCAGGCCUAACACAUGCAAGCCGAACGAAGUCUUCGGACUUAGUGGCGGACGGGUGAGUAACACGUGGGAACGUGCCUUUAGGUUCGGAAUAACUCAGGGAAACUUGUGCUAAUACCGAAUGUGCCCUUCGGGGGAAGGAUUUAUCGCCUUUAGAGCGGCCCGCGUCUGAUUAGCUAGUUGGUGAGGUAAAGGCUCACCAAGGCGACGAUCAGUAGCUGGUCUGAGAGGAUGAUCAGCCACAUUGGGACUGAGACACGGCCCAAACUCCUACGGGAGGCAGCAGUGGGGAAUCUUGCGCAAUGGGCGAAAGCCUGACGCAGCCAUGCCGCGUGAAUGAUGAAGGUCUUAGGAUUGUAAAAUUCUUUCACCGGGGACGAUAAUGACGGUACCCGGAGAAGAAGCCCCGGCUAACUUCGUGCCAGCAGCCGCGGUAAGAC